rnacentral:SRP_RNA from 1 species
GACCGGUCCCCUCGCAUCGCUACGCCGUGAACCCCGUCAGGCCCGGAAGGGAGCAGCGGCAGCGGCCGGUGCGGGUGCCGGGGUGCGGCUGGUCCGC